AUUGAACGCUGGCGGCAGGCUUAACACAUGCGAGUCGAGCGGUAGCACAGGGGAGCUUGCUCCCUGGGUGACGAGCGGCGGACGGGUGAGUAAUGUCUGGGAAACUGCCUGAUGGAGGGGGAUAACUACUGGAAACGGUAGCUAAUACCGCAUAACGUCGCAAGACCAAAGAGGGGGACCUUCGGGCCUCUUGCCAUCAGAUGUGCCCAGAUGGGAUUAGCUAGUAGGUGGGGUAAUGGCUCACCUAGGCGACGGUCCCUAGCUGGUCUGAGAGGAUGACCAGCCACACUGGAACUGAGACACGGUCCAGACUCCUACGGGAGGCAGCAGUGCGGAAUAUUGCACAAUGGGCGCAAGCCUGAUGCAGCCAUGCCGCGUGUGUGAAGAAGGCCUUCGGGUUGUAAAGCACUUUCAGCGAGGAGGAAGGUGGUGAGCUUAAUACGUUCAUCAAUUGACGUUACUCGCAGAAGAAGCACCGGCUAACUCCGUG
rnacentral:rRNA from 1 species